rnacentral:rRNA from 1 species
UACGUAGGGUGCGAGCGUUAAUCGGAAUUACUGGGCGUAAAGCGUGCGCAGGCGGUGAUGUAAGUCCGUUGUGAAAUCCCCGGGCUUAACCUGGGAACUGCAUUGGUGACUGCAUCGCUCGAGUAUGGCAGAGGGGGGUAGAAUUCCACGUGUAGCAGUGAAAUGCGUAGAGAUGUGGAGGAAUACCGAUGGCGAAGGCAGCCCCCUGGGUCAAUACUGACGCUCAUGCACGAAAGCGUGGGGAGCAAACAGG